rnacentral:lncRNA from 1 species
AGAGGGAAAGGGGUUUUCAUGGGCCCAGUAAUCGGGUUUGAAGUUUGGAGGAGUGGGUCAUCUGGGUCAUGAUCCCACCGAGAUGGGAAAUUGGGCUAUUGAAUUUAGGGCCUAAAUGUUCUAAUUACUAAAUUAGGGAACCGUUAAAAUGAAGGAAAAUGCCUUAAUGGGCCUUGGGGAUGGCCUCAAAAUAAUUGUAAUUAUGAGGGCUUGAGAUUAGACUGGACCUAAGGAGCCCAAACCUUAAUAGAAGGGUCAAAUUGAAUAUGGGCAAGAUCUUUUGUUUUUUAAUUAAUUAGAUCUGAUAANNNNNNNNNNNNNNNNNNNNGAAUUUAGGGCCUAAAUGUUCUAAUUACUAAAUUAGGGAACCGUUAAUAUGAAGGAAAAUGCCUUAAUGGGCCUUGGGAUGGCCUCAAAAUAAUUGUAAUUAUGAGGGCUUGAGAUUAGACUGGACCUAAGGAGCCCAAACCUUAAUAGAAGGGUCAAAGUGAAUAUGGGCAAGAUCUUUUGUUUUUUUUUAAUUAAUUAGAUCUGAUAAGGUUUAAAAUUGUGAAUUAACUAAUUGUGUUUCUGGCCCUGAAUACGAAUGGGCCAGUGAGUGAAUCAGGCCAAGGGCCUGAUCCAGCACCCAAUUAAACUUUGGGCCUGAAUGCAAAAGGGCCCUGACCUGAACCCAGGAGCAAUAGGGUCAAACCCGAACCAGAAAGUGACCCAGACCUGAACCAAACUUGGGUCUGACCUGAACCAGAAAAAUUGUUAGACCAAAAUCAGACAUUGGGUCAAACCCAAAUGGAGAAAAUUGAACAGACCUAAAUUGGAAAUUGAACCAGGUUAGAGACCUAAGAAUAAAAUUGAGUCCUAUGGAUGGAUUGUAAGCUGGGUAAUUAAGGAAGAUAGUGA